AUGCUUCAUAGUGUUCUGGGGAAAACCUUCUAACUCGUUGGCUACACCAUUCAGUAUGGCUGCACAGCUCGUUGUGCUUUUGUAUAUAUUAGUGGUACAUCAUGUGUUCUGGAUCAUCGACGGAGCCUACAACUCAAAAUUAGAUAUUGCCUUUGCAGAAAAUCUCAGUAGAUAUUUUUAUGGUAUUCAAAGAGGUAACAUUGUGAUUGCAAAAAGCCCAAGUGAUCCAAAAUCAAAUAUUUGUAAAAGAGUAGUUGGCUUGGAAGGAGACAGAAUCCUCACUGAUCGGCCAUCAGAUUUCUUUAAAAGUCAUCGCUAUGUGCCAACUGGUCAUGUUUGGUUAGAAGGUGAUAAUUGGCAGAAUUCCACAGAUUCCAGGUACUAUGGAGCUAUUCCAUAUGAACUGACAAGAGGACAAAUCUUCUUUAAGAUUCGGCCUCUCAGUGAUUUUGGAUUUUUAUGUGACAGCCCUAAUGGCCAAAGAUUUUCUGAUGAUUAAUAAGCAUUUGUUCUUUUGACUUGAUUAUUGUCUCCUAUUAAACUUAUUACUACCACUGAAACCAUGUACUUAACAAUAAACUAUUUGCUAUU